GAAAUAAUAAUAAAGGAUUAUCAUCAUUGAUUUUUAAAUUAUUAUUCUUAUUAUUAUUAGAAAACCUGAGUGAAGUUUGUAAUAUAUUACGUUUUGUCGAAUUUUUUAAUAAUCUGUUGGGGAAGGGGAAUAAAUGAGGAUUAUCCUUCAUUUUUAAAUUGUUAGCAUUAUUAUAAUGGUUCUUAUUGUAAAAAGGUCUGCUCUGCUGAAUUCCUGUUCUGAAAAGGAGGAGGAGGAAACUUCGCGUGAUGAAGGGAGAAGAGGAGAUGGAGGAAAAGUCAUGAAGCUCCUUUAACCAAACACCUGAUUCGCCCAGCAGCGUGGCAGCGAAAGGAAAGAGGAGAAAAAGAGGCAAGGCAGCAGUGGAAAAAGAUGGGUUGCCUGUAUGGGCUCUGCUUUAUUCCUUAAUGUCGAAUGCUACAUCUGCCUAAGUCCACUUCCAUCCACCGGAAAAGCUUCUUAGCCGCAAGGAGCAAAGGGAACGGUGGGAAAUACCUAGCUAUCUCUCUAAAUCGGUAAGACCGCACAGUUCCUACACUUCCACAAGGCCUGGCCCUUUCCAGAGGUGCAGCCUGACUUCUCCAAAGGUGGAUUUCAGCUCAAACAGCUGCUUGACUAGUUUCUUUUCCUAUCCUCACACCCGUAACCCUGGCAGCCUCCCAGAGAACAGUCUAUUCCUCGAUGGUCCGGGAGAUUGCAUUUUCCCACGUCUCCAGAUAUUGAAACCCUAGCAUUUACUAAUCUCUUAAUGCAGUUUUGGGGUGUGUUUGUGUGUGUCAGCCCUUAAAAAUCAACUGUGCAAAGAUUUAAGACUUUCACCUGCUAUGCAUAUAGGCUGGGAGCCCCAAUGGCAGGAGACUAAGUGGGCUGAGCCCCUGCAACAGGGGCCGAAACCAAAAGCCAGUUGAAUCAUUACAUUGACAAAUACUGGCACAUAUGUAUGCGUUUUGGAAAUUUGCAGCAGUUUGUAGUGCUAAGAGAGGUGUUUUAAAGAAAAAACACUUUAUACACUUAUGAGCGUUCCCUUAGAGUAGGCUCAUGGUUGUUUCCUUUUCUGGAGGUAUAAAUGUUCUUAGCAGAUGUACAAUCCCCCCGAAGGCUUCAGGCCUCCUGACUGUUGAAAUGCUCCUGGGGAGACUGUAAGCAGCACCUCCUCCGCUCCCAGUCAGCAAAAGGGGAUGGCAAGGUGUGCUUCAUGGCGCAACUUGCAGCUGCAGUUUAAAGUGCCUUAAAAGUGCCAUUUUAUAGGGUAACAGUGACAUCACAACCAAGGUUGGUGGUUCUCCUGCAUAUUUCUGCCUUGCAGUGGGCUGGGCUGGAUGAUCCUUGAGGUCCCUUCCAGAUGUAG